rnacentral:rRNA from 1 species
AUUGAACGCUGGCGGCAGGCCUAACACAUGCAAGUCGAACGAGUGGCGGACGGGUGAGUAAUGUCUGGGAAACUGCCUGAUGGAGGGGGAUAACUACUGGAAACGGUAGCUAAUACCGCAUACCAUCAGAUGUGCCCAGAUGGGAUUAGCUUGUUGGUGGGGUAACGGCUCACCAAGGCGACGAUCCCUAGAUGGUCUGAGAGGAUGACCAGCCACCAUGGAACGUAGACACUGUCCAGGCUCCUACGGGGAGCAGCAGUGGGGAAUAUUGCACAAUGGGCGCAAGCCUGAUGCAGCCAAUCCGCGUGUAUGAAGAAGGCCUUCGGGUUGGAAAGUACUUUCAGCGGGGAGGCGUUACCCGCAGAAGAAGCACCGGCUAACUCCGUGCCAGCAGCCGCGGUAAUAC